CUAACCCACCCAUAGCGGUAGAACGAUCGGAGCGGGUCAUCUUCCCCAACUCCGGCAACCACGGCCGCCGCCUCUUUCUCGUUCAUGUCGACGCCAUUAGGGCCUCCCCCUCUCCACUCUCUUCACCAACAGCACCCUGGAGCACCCACGAAUCCAACCCACCUCUCGAUUCUGCUCAGGAGCCGCCGUAGGCGAAAGCUCAAUCCCACCCGACGCCACCGUCCACCGAAGAGCUCGCCGCCGGUGACUCCGUCCACUCCGACGACCAAGGAGGGUACCCACGGGUUCGCCUCGACCUCCUGAGCUCGAAGGUGGCCUCGGUUUUCCGAACGGUGCCACCGUUCACCGGCACCGAUCGCCGGAGCUCCGCCUCUGUUCGGUCGGAGGAGACGGCGCGCGCGUGGACUGGUCAAACCUGACCGGUGGGCCGGGCGGGCCCACCGUCAGUGACUCAGCGCCGUGCCAACUCGUCUUAAGUGGAGACGAGUUCCGUUGAAGUUGCCUUCCUGCGUGGAAAGUGUAUUUCUUGGACUACGCUUUCGGCGUCGCAGCCCUCCCACGCAGCCAAACAACUGGGCUUGGCCCAGUAGCGCCAGGCGGCUAUACCGCGGCCAGGGCGCGUCUCUACUCAGCCAAUCACAAUCAUGACUCAGAGAGGAGCAUUACGGAGACUCCCCCGCAACCUAGGAUUCGGAGAUAACAGCCACGUGAGAUAGGAGUUAUCCAGGUCAGCUGUUCCCGUGGGAAUGGAGUCCCAUCAACAUUGGAGAUCCACGAGUCGCUUCCGUCAUCCACCACUAGAGAUCCUUGUUAUAUUCAUUGGACCUUUGUGGUCUUGUAUCCAAUCUCUUGUAAUUGCUUGGAAUUCUAUAUCAAGGAAAUGUCCACCAGCAACAGUAAUCCUGGGGCUGGUGAUGACACAAUGGUUGUUUACUGGGAUUUAUGUCCCGGAAAUCCGGCCCCGACACCCAUGUCUUAUUUUAGGAUUGCAUUUGAAUUAAAUGACAUGGUUAGAAGAAACUCCCCUUGUAACGGUGCAUACCCACACAAGAAUGAUAUAUCGACAUGGAACAUUUUACUAA